UACGGAGGGUGCGAGCGUUGUCCGGAAUCACUGGGCGUAAAGGGCGCGUAGGUGGCCCCUUAAGUGUGUGGUGAAAGCCCGGGGCUCAACCCCGGGUCGGCCAUGCAAACUGGGGGGCUGGAGCACUGUAGAGGCAGGCGGAAUUCCGGGUGUAGCGGUGGAAUGCGUAGAGAUCCGGAAGAACACCGGUGGCGAAGGCGGCCUGCUGGGCAGUUGCUGACACUGAGGCGCGACAGCGUGGGGAGCAAACAGG
rnacentral:rRNA from 1 species